UAUCACGAAUCACUUUUAUAAUAAAAAAACCAAACUCUUCUUCCAUCUUCAAUUGUUAACCCUUUAUUAUUUCAUACAAAAACUCACCAAUCGGCCACCGUUUACCAUUCUUCUUCCAUUGUUAACCCUAAAAUUGUUGUUUCUCUCUCAAAAUAAGAAUAGAGAUUUAAAAGCCAAACCCUCCAAAUCUCAAUUUCUCUCUUAAAAAACACAACCCUAAAAACUCCGAUGUACUCUAUUUCACCGUAAGGUCACAUUAUUCCUUUUCUCUAUACUAUGUCUUUGUUCUCUUUCUUCGGUUUGCAUUUGUGUUGGACCGUUGGUGAGCUUUGUCUUUUGGUUGUGAUAUGUCAUGCUUCAAAAGUUGUACUGACACAUUUGAGUGGAUGUAUCAAGUAUAUUUCACAUUUGGCAUUCUUCAUUUCUCUAAUUUUGAGUUUAACAAUGUGAUUGAUAGCAAGUUUGCUUAGAUUUUAUUUGCAUUUUCUUACAUAUAUGAUAUAUCCUUUUAAUCAUUAUGUAUGAAGCUUGUAGAUACCAAAGACAAAUCAGUCUUUGUUCUCAUUGAAGGCAAAGUGUAUGGUCAUUCUUGAAGAUGUUCAGCCAAAAUCUAAAUGAUUCUUGAAGGUGUCCGCUGUGUUAUAUGUAGAUCUUCAAUUUCGUAACUAGCAACGGAUUAUCUGAUGUCUUCUUCAAUUCCCUAUAUGCAAAGGGUCUUAUUCCUGGAGGUGCUUUAAUGCACGUUGAUGCUAAUUUGGACUCAACUUUGGAUGUGACCGAGCACUUGAAGUCUUGUUUGAUUUGAUGGAUGAAAGAGGUAGCAAGUUCUAUUCAUCAUUUUGGGAGAGUAUUUUCCAUUGAGUUCUAUUUCCAAUUUUUGAUCAUGUAAGACAUGCUAGAAAAGAAGGCUUUGUUUCUAGCAAUGAUGAUUGGUUUUGUGAAACAAGCAUACAUUCCCUUCAUUUGUUCUGCAACAUUUUCAGCAAAUUUUAUAAGGUUGGUGGUAUGGUGUUGUAGGUCACUUGGAGAGUCAUGGGAUGAGAAUGAAAACCAUUGCUGCUGCCAUAUUAGUGUUGCUGGUAAAGAUUAAAGGUAGUAUGGAAGGGUUGAAGAUGGAAACUUGAAGAUGAAAGUUAUAGACAAUUAAAGGCACAGUUUGUUUUUUAGUUGGAACUUGUAUAUUUAUUGGUAUAUUUCUUGAUAUGCUCCCUAUAUGUAUGUAAAUAAUGUUAAUGAAUUUAUUUUUAGGUUGGAGGACUUCUUUAAAUUUAUAAUUUUAAAUUUAUGUUGAAA